rnacentral:rRNA from 1 species
GGGUCAUUGGAAACUGGGGAACUUGAGUGCAGGAGAGGGGAGCGGAAUCCACGUGUAGCGGUGAAAUGCGUAGAGAUGUGGAGGAACACCAGUGGCGAAGGCGGCUCUCUGGCCUGUAACUGACGCUGAGGCGCGAAAGCGUGGGGAGCGAACAGGAUUAGAUACCCUGGUAGUCCACGCCGUAAACGAUGAGUGCUAGGUGUUGGAGGGGUCAUACCCUUCAGUGCUGCAGCUAACGCAUUAAGCACUCCGCCUGGGGAGUACGGCCGCAAGGCUGAAACUCAAAGGAAUUGACGGGGGCCCGCACAAGCGGUGGAGCAUGUGGUUUAAUUCGAAGCAACGCGAAGAACCUUACCAGGCCUUGACAUCCUCUGACACCCCUGGAGACAGGGCUUCCCCUUCGGGGGCAGAGUGACAGGUGGUGCAUGGUUGUCGUCAGCUCGUGUCGUGAGAUGUUGGGUUAAGUCCCGCAACGAGCGCAACCCUCGUCCUUAGUUGCCAGCAUUCAGUUGGGCACUCUAAGGAGACUGCCGGUGACAAACCGGAGGAAGGUGGGGACGACGUCAAAUCAUCAUGCCCCUUAUGGCCUGGGCUACACACGUGCUACAAUGGGCGGUACAAAGGGUUGCGAAACCGCGAGGUGGAGCUAAUCCCAAAAAGCC